GCAGGUGAUAGCUCAGUUUGCAAGAGUGUGGUGCUGAUAAUGCCAAGGUUGCAGGUUCGAUCCCUGUAUGGGACAGCUGCA